rnacentral:rRNA from 1 species
GACGAACGCUGGCGGCGUGCCUAAUACAUGCAAGUCGAGCGGACUUGACAGAGCUUGCUCUGUUCAAGUUAGCGGCGGACGGGUGAGUAACACGUGGGCAACCUGCCCUGCAGAUUGGGAUAACUCCGGGAAACCGGGGCUAAUACCGAAUAACAUUGAAAACCUCAUGGUUUUCUUUUAAAAGGCGGCUUCGGCUGUCACUGCAGGAUGGGCCCGCGGCGCAUUAGCUAGUUGGUGAGGUAACGGCUCACCAAGGCGACGAUGCGUAGCCGACAUGAGAGGGUGAUCGGCCACACUGGGACUGAGACACGGCCCAGACUCCUACGGGAGGCAGCAGUAGGGAAUCUUCCGCAAUGGGCGAAAGUCUGACGGAGCAACGCCGCGUGAGUGAAGAAGGUUUUCGGAUCGUAAAACUCUGUUGUUAGGGAAGAACAAGUAUCGGAGUAACUGCCGGUACCUUGACGGUACCUGACCAGAAAGCCACGGCUAACUACGUGCCAGCCGCCGCGGUAACAC